AUUGAACGCUGGCGGCAGGCCUAACACAUGCAAGUCGAAAGAGUGGCGGACGGGUGAGUAAUGUCUGGGAACCUGCCUGAUGGAGGGGGAUAACUACUGGUAACGGUAGCUAAUACCGCAUACCAUCGGAUGUGCCAAGAUGGGAUUAGCUAGUAGGUGGGGUAAAGGAUCACCUAGGCGACGAUCCCUAGCUGGUCUGAGAGGAUGACCAGCCACACUGAAAAUGAGACACGUUCCAGACGCCUACGGGAGGCAGAAGUGGGGAAUAUUCCACAAUGGGCGCAAGCCUGAUGCAGCCAGGCCGCGUGUAUGAAGAAGGCCUUAGGGUUGUAAAGUACUGUCAGCGGGGAGGCGUUACCCGCAGAAGAAGCACCGGCUAACUCCGUGCCAGCAGCCGCGGUAAUUC
rnacentral:rRNA from 1 species